GAUGAACGCUGGCGGCGUGCCUAAUACAUGCAAGUCGAGCGAACAGACGAGAUUCUUUCUCUUCGGUCGAUAGCUUCGGACGUGUGAGUAACACGUGGAUAACCUACCUAUAAGACUUGGAUAACUUCGGGAAACCGGAGCUAAUACCGGCUAAUAAUACGGACUGCAACCACCAAUAGUCAAAGAGCGUGGUUCUGACACCUAGAGGUGUGUCCUGGCCGCAUUAGCGAGUUGGUAAGUGAACGGCUUACCAAGGCACCGAUGCAUAACCGCCAUGAGAGGGUGGUCGACUACACGGCAACUGAGACACGGCCGAGACACCUACACGAGGAAGCAGUAGGGAAUCUUACGCAAUGGAGGAAAGCGGAAUAGAGCAAAACCGCGGGAGUGCUGAAGGUCUGCGGCUCGUAAAGCGAUGUUAUAAGGGAAGAAGAAAAGCGUAAGUAACAAUGAACAUCUUGACGGUACCUAACCAGAAAGCACCGGCUAACUACGUG
rnacentral:rRNA from 1 species